GGUAAUAAGUUUUGGGAAAGAGGGUAAUGAUGAAAGGUCCAAUAGGGUCGACAUGAGACCACGUGUAUAUCACAAUUUCAUCGUAGUGUUUUUCCAUUUGAGCUUUCGACUUUUAAAAGGUCGUGCGAAAAAGUGAUUCGAUAUGUGUUCUCAGGUCGCCCCUGUAGGACCUUUUAUUACCGUAGACUGAAUUCAACCGGCACAAAGAUGUUGCAAUUGGUUAACACAAUCGAAAAAUAGGUUCGUUUAUCUUUCCUUGUUCUUUGGGCAAAUUAGAUUAAACUAGUGUUUUAAGUAAUAAUUUCUUAUUCACGUCAUUUCAAAUAUCUGUAAUCAAUAUUAUUUUGGCGUUUCUUACAUAGUCGUGCUCAGCUAUUACGAAGAAAAUAAUUAUUUUACACGUUGCAUUUAAUUGUGUCGCACUAUUUAGUAAGAAGUACAUUUGUUAUCUUGUCUGUAUCUAUUACGUAACACAAUUUUACUUGUAUCCAUGUUUUUCUUUUUGAUAUGAAUAAUAUUAUUGCUAUCAUCGCUAUCAUUAUGUUCCAGCAAAAAGUAAGAGGGCAUGAGAAUAAAAUCUUGAAGAGGUAUUAUACCCAUUACUCGUUUCUAUUAAGGAAUUAAAAAAGUGGCUCCCUUCGUUUUCAUCGCCAAAAUAUUGAUUUUGAUUAUCUAUGACUUAUUUUCAAAGGAUAAUUCUACAUGUACCUUAAGAUGUCCAUAAUGUACCUAUGGAAUUCUAUCUUUGGAGGGUUGAAAAAGCUGUUUUUCAAAAUACCAAAAGAUGCUGCCCAAUUCCCAUCCCAAACACAGUAGAUAAUAUCCGCCGUCGUCGCCACCACAUUUGCAGGUUGCGGCUGUUGUCUUUACCGUCGACUAACUCUAUCUGCACCUGCUACUCACCAGCUUCGAUAUCAAAUAUGUUGUUUGUUUUGGUUUCCAUCUUGUUUUAUAACUUGAUUUCCAUAUCUUUAAUCAUUCUAAAAAAUUUUCGUAAGUGGUUGGUGUCGGAAAAAUGAACGUGCAUAAAUUAUAUUUUAAUAUCUUACCUUUUACAAGCACAAAGUCAGACAAAAUUUAUACUUACCGAAAUUGAAUACAUGAAGUAGAAAUGAGAAAUACAUGAAUAUGAAUUUGGUUGAGGAAAAGUUAAAGUUUUUGUUCUUAAAACGAUUAUAUCUCACACGGGUGCUAACAGUUUUUUGGACAUUCGUCUUCCAACAUACAACGACCACGUUCUGCAAUAUAAUCAUUUCAAAUUAUGUAGACCAACGAAUAUACUUAUGUUUUAAACUCUUUUUAUAUGAAACUUGAUUUCAAAUAAAUGUGGAAUUGUAUUGAAAUGUAUAUGCUUUAGUAUAAUAAUGCAAUCAUGAAGUAAAUGAAUUUCAUCCAAACACAUGGAAUCUAUAUAUAAUUGUUGAAAAGUUGCGCUUCAAAAGACACAACUCCUGAAAAUUAUCUCAAUACAUGAAGAGAUACACCUAUUGAGAAAAUAAUAAUUCCAAAAGUCACGAUCUUUCACAUGGAAAGACACAUUUUCAUCCAAACGGUUCUCGAAUAUUUCAUAAUAUUCUACACGAUUUUCUAAUAAUUUCACGUAUUUAAGUGACUUGAAUUUGAUUUAAUUUUUCAUUAAACAAAUAACGAUAUCCACUUAAAUAACUAUUUCAAAAUUGAUAAAAACCAAUUCUCUAUACGAAAUUCAAGCAAUUCAUCUCAUGAAUAAAAAUUAAUGUAAAUGACUAUGCAGACACUAGUAGAAAGACAAGGGUUAAGAUAGGCACGUCAAAACGAAUAGGUUGGCCCAAAUCGGCCCACCUGCAAGCUUAACCGGCAUGAGCCCGAUAGUGCUAUCAACCCGGCCCAUGCCAAUUUUCGAUCCAAAUCAAGCCCGAACCAUAAUAUAUUAUUGAAGACCGAAUUGGGCCAUACGCCCGCCACUGUGGUGAGUCAGUUAAGAUCUGGUUAGGAUCGCACGAUCUAUUUAAUUUACAAUUUGAGGAAUGAAAGCAAAUUUUGUUUCUAUUAACGUUCUUUGGAAUUUGAAAAGGUCUAAUGCCGACAGGGGCAAAUCUAGGAUUCGGAGUAAGUACGGAAGGUCGUUGGUUGAUCUUUGGUCACAAUAAUUAUUUAUGCUAAAUGUGAAUAUAUAUUAUUUUUGCAACACUUGUUAACUGAAUUCAAUCUGUUCAAGCGCUCUAUAUUAUUCAUAAUUCAAAGGAAGGUCGAAGAUUCGAAAUUUGAAUCCUUUUGUUUGCAUUAAAACCACUAAAUUGAAUAUAUAAAUUGUUACACGGAAUGCGACGAUGGUCAAGUCCCCAACAAUCUUAAUAAGGGUCAACGGUUCGAAUUCCCUCCUUGCGUUAGUUUUAGCAAAAAUCAUUGAUUUAGAAAAAUUGAACAAUAAAUUGCUUUGAAUUAGAAUCGAACCCGGGACUUCUCAUGUGGUUGUGGAAGCAUCAAUCAACCACACUAGAGGAAGCGUUUGGCCUAAAAUGACUUAUCAGGUAUAUAAUAUAAAACUUUAGACAUCAUCAACAAAAAAAAAAAAAAAAUGUUCCUUCCGGCGGAUCUAGCACCCACGGCCCUGGGGGCUCGCCAGGUGCUGGAUCCGCCAGUGAAUGCCGACAUUGUUAAUGGCAGAUAUUUGACACGUGAAAGUGAUUGGUAGUAGGGUUGUCGCUUUUUUUUUUUUUUUUUCAAUUAU
rnacentral:lncRNA from 1 species